rnacentral:lncRNA from 1 species
GCAGCAGGUCCCGGAGUCCAAAUAGAUCAAAUUUUCCUGUCAGGUCUCGCCGCUCUCCGUCUCCACGGCAACGCAGGAAGAGUCGCUCUGUGUCUGCUCCAAGAGAGCAGGAAAAACCACGAGGAAGAAGAGCCAACCUUCCUCCUAAAGACAUCCCGCCUCCUUGCCGCUCUUCUUCCUCCUCUUCAUCCUCCAGCUCCUCCUCCUCUUCCUCUGAGGCGGCUCCGCCCCCCGUUCGUCAAGAGUCCGACGUCAACCGCUCUCCACUGCUGGUCACCGUUGUUCAGCAGGUGGACGAGAAGCAGGCGGAGAAGAUGCCCCAGAGCAGCAGCUCCUCGUCAUCGUCAUCAUCCUCGUCUUCAUCAUCGUCCUCUUCCUCAGACAGCUCCGACUCAGAGGCAAAGCCGACUGACAGAACACAAAAUGCCCCGCCUUCUUCCUCAUCUUCCUCCUCCUCUUCAUCAUCAUCCUCCUCCUCCUCUUCUGAUGAUGAAGCUGAAGAAGAGAAAAAGAGGCCGAGACGCGUUCCCGCCGAUUCUCUGAGAGACUCACGCUCGCUCAGUUAUUCUCCUCCUCACCACAUGAGGGCGGCGGCGUCUCCCAGUCGCAGGCACAACAGGAAGUGAUGGGGUCUCUGCAGGAAGUGUCUGCACGUGAUGUGAAGUCUGUCCACGUUUCACGUGUUCGUCGAAGCCGAUUAAUAAAAGUUGUACGUUUUAAGGUGUGGCGCGCUUC